CAGCAGCCGCGGUAAUACGAAGGGUGCAAGCGUUACUCGGAAUUACUGGGCGUAAAGCGUGCGUAGGUGGUGGUUUAAGUCCGUUGUGAAAGCCCUGGGCUCAACCUGGGAAUUGCAGUGGAUACUGGGUCACUAGAGUGUGGUAGGGGAUAGUGGAAUUUCCGGUGUAGCAGUGAAAUGCGUAGAGAUCGGAAGGAACAUCUGUGGCGAAGGCGACUAUCUGGGCCAACACUGACACUGAGGCACGAAAGCGUGGGGAGCAAACAGGAUUAGAUACCCGCGUAGUCCCUGUCUCUUAUAC
rnacentral:rRNA from 1 species